GAGGUUGAGGGACGGAUAGAGAAGUGAGAUUCAGAGUGGUGAGCGAAGAUGAUGAGUUUGAGGGAGCGUGAACAAGUGAACGCUUCGUUACUGUUCCUCCCACUUUUCCUUCAUUUAUUUUAUUUUUACAAAACCAUCAUUUAAAACCAUUAAAAAGAUUUGUUUACUUUUAGUCUUCUAUUUUUUUUUAUUAAAUGGUAUAUAUUGGUAUAUUUGUUUUCCCAAUUCAUAAUCCAUUGGAAAACCCAAUAGCCAAGCGGCUGGGUUUAAUU
rnacentral:lncRNA from 1 species